rnacentral:misc_RNA from 1 species
UUGAAGGUCAAACCAAGUAUCAGGUGUGAAUCUUUUCAUGUCAAUUUAGAUUUUAGGGUGGGAAAGAAAACUCUGUUAUGUCCAUUAUAUCUCUCUUUCCCAUUUCAUUUCCUUCUGGAUUAUUGUUUUUCUUUUUCUUUGUUUGGUCUUUUUCAAACCUUUUCUCUCAAGGAAACUUAGUUGGGGGGGUGGGGUGGUGGGCUACUUUCUCAAGAAA